CCCAAGUAGCUGAGACUACAGGUGCACAUCACCACACCCAGGUCACUUCAGCAACGCGAUGGAAAAUGAAGAUGGAAAAGGGAGGUGGAGAGCAUGCCCUGGGGAGGUUUGCAGUUGUUUCUCUGCUGUAUUUGGAGGAGGCAGAUUCAGAAGCAGCUGUGGUAUAUGAAAGAAAGGAUGAAGGGAAAAGAGAAUUUUCUGAAGUAUGACUGAAAACUGAUGGAAGCCACAGGGAACUUAUUUGAUAUCUUCUGCUGUUUUCAUACACUGAGAUCUUUUGACUGCUGUGUUGCUCUUAGAAUAAACAGUAUUAGUUAUGGCCUUA